UAUUUCACAUUCAGGCGUCGAACACCGUGUCGAGUUGGAAUGGAUUCUCGUAGAUUUCAUCUCUUGCUUUGCAUUUGUGCCAUCAUAAUUCAUCUCGCCAGUGGUGAAAACAAUCUGAACUAUGAGAUAGGACAAAACGACGCUGCAACUGCAACGACGGGUCAAGGGUUCAAUGUUGCUGCUGAUAGCCUGAGUCGUCUGAAGCGUCAAAGCUGUAAUAAAGAUGCCUGUCUCAAACAAUGUCUAAGCCGAGGAAAUUCCAACGGCUAUUGUGUAGGCUCAAUUUGCUCCUGUUCCGGUUUUUGAGCAGUAUGUGAUGAAUGUGAUGAAUUAAGAACAAUUUUGGAAAAA